rnacentral:tRNA from 1 species
GCCUGGGUAGUUCAGUCGGUUAAGCGUCUGACUUCAGCUCAGGUCAUGAUCUCACAGUUUGUGAGUUCAAGCCCCACGUCAGGCU